UCCUCUAUCUGAGCUCCACUGUUUUCAUUUUGCAAAAUUUUUUGGUGUAGGAUUUUAUUUUGUUUUCCUGUUCUUGGACAAAUUUAGUGGGUGCUCGUCGUGGUUGUCUUUUAUGUCCCAGUUGUUGCUAGACAACUUUCAGUGGACAUCCCAUGAGUGUCUUUCAGAACCCCCCCGAAAACCCCACCUUUUAUCGCUUUGGUUGUUGUCAGUGACUUUUUGUUAGCUCCCCUUUCUGUUUGAGCGACAUUAUUUGGUUUUCUUGCUGGGGAAUUUACCACUCCAAAUGAACUAAAGUUCAAGAAAGUUAUAAAGACUAUGGCAAAGCCAACCUCAUUUGGCCCAGCCAGCAUCACUCAUGGCCCGUUACCAUAGAAACAGAUAGUUGUUUAGUGUAGCUGGUUAGCUAGCAACAUUUUCGUUUAGGAAUUUGUAAUCCAUGACAAAUGAUGUGUGUACGGGUUGAACAAAUUGCUGCAUCGCGUGUGCGGGAAUUUCUCUGUCGGAAGGUCGCUUACAGAGGUUGUCUGUCCAUCACAUUGUACAUUAUCAUCAUUUGAAGCAUCAGAUACUCACCCCACAACUACCCAGAGAAGUAUCUGGAGCCAUAAACGUAGCCAGAGCCAGCAGGACCGACAGCCUGUACAUUCCUUCCUAGAUAAUGACAUCUCCACUAAGAGGGAAUCCUUUUCAGACAAAAAUACUGUUGUCACCUCAGAGAGUACUCAUAAGAAGAAAACAAGCCGCCUCAGACAAGUCAUGAUUGCAGGUCCCCAUAGCUAGUUCUACCCAGGAAUCCAAUAGAUAAUGCCAGACUCGACACCCUAAUCUUCUUCUGGUAAAUGAUGAAGACAGCAAAAACAGCAGAGAUGGGCCUCCAUUGAUUGUCCAGUCACAGAGAAUGGUUACGGGGCUGACCGAGCUCUCCCCUGCUGAGAGAAAGCCAACAGCCACGUAGCACACCAGGGAAAGGAAGUGAUGAAGAUGGAUAUGGGUUUGAGAGAGUAGGAAAAAACAACAUUGGAUGACGUGGACCAUAUAUUUGAUUGCAGACAUUGAUGAUGAUGAGGACGAGUUGAGUGAGCUCUCCAGAGUGUCCUUCCACUCCUCCAGUUUGCCUCAGCCCAGUUCUGAUAGUCAACCCAUGGUUUGCAUCCCAAAUGGCACCCUAUUCCUUACAUAGGUCACUACUUUUCACCAGAGCCCUGUGGGCUCUGAUCAAAGGUAGUGCGCUAAAUAGGAAAUAGGGUUCUAUUUGGGCUCGUAUAUGAUUAUUGGACAGGAGCUCAAAUAUUUGGCCUGGUUUGAGUUAAAAUGCUGUGAUGUUUAGUGAUAAUGUCUUUCUGUGUUUUCUACCCUGAAAUGGCGCAUUCUUGGAUCUAGCAGCAGUUUCUUGCAGUGCCGAGUGGAGGAGUCAGAGUUUCACAUUCUCAGAUACACCGUAUCUGAGAUAUGGGAUUGUACAGAAGAAGGAGCUUGUCAAUUUAUUGCGGUUUUGGACGGGCUUGUAUUGAAUGACUUCAACAACCACAAGGAGCUCGAUUCAGGCACUGGAAACCUGAACCUUCUCAAGGGAACAAGAGGUCGCAGUGACAUUAAAAUGCCGUCUUUAUUUAGAACGUUAUAAUAUCUGCAAGGCUGAAUUCCAACCUGAAGACUCCCAAGUUCCCUAUCUGGGCGAUGGGCAGCGAGAGCCAUUUCAGCGUGCUCUUCGGUGCGCUCUUCGAUGCGCAGGAGCAGCUGUUGAGUGACCAGUGUGGGCUCAGUGUGGGCUCCUGCUGAUGGCCGAGCCAAUCAGCAGGAGGAAAUCUGCCUCACGCUGUAGCUGGCACAGGAAUAUCUGCCGGCUGCCAAGAUAUCAACACUGACCUCAUUCCUCCUCUUGAACACUGUAUACGGACAAAAAAGAUGCCAUUGUCGAUUGGAACGACACCAAGCCCAUACUUUGAUUGGCUGGUGGAUAGAAGGUGAUGACAGUCGAUGAGAUUAGGCUUUCCCCGAGGCUGGAGACAAAAUAUACGUUUUUGUUAUUAAAUAGAUGUACUUCCAAGUAUAUAUUUGUAUUGUAUAAAGUAUAUUAUUUGUAUUGUAUAAAUAGUAUUGUCUUUUGUCCAUGUCACGGCCAUUUUGUCCAUGUCACUGAUGUCUUGAGAUGUUGCGUCAAUAUAUCCACAUCAAUUUUCCUCAUUGUUUUUGAAGAUGUUACAGGUAAUGUGGUGAGUGGUGCAGGGAGUGUUGAUGCAUACGCCUUAAAACGAGUCAUUACCUCAUGGUAUCUUAUAUGGACAUGCCCAAGACAAAUAGGAGUGCCUUGGAUUUGUCAUAGCCUAUGACACACAGCUUUCAAGACCAUUAGUCUUAAUGUAUUACACUAUCCAUAAUGUAUUAUGAUAUGUGGUGUGUAUUUUUGACUGUAAAUAUUUUAUAUGACUGGUCAGAGUAAUCUGUUUUAUUAAGAUAAAAGUUGUGGCUCACCUGUACCUUGCCUUUUGUCUUCUGUGGACUACUGCGCAUGGGACACAUGCAAUGCCUUGAUUGUCCUCAAGCUGCCGCUGUUGAGUUGUAAAUGAAUCAUGAACGCAGUCAACUCUACUCAUUCUUGGUUCCAGUGACAGAAGAGAAGAGAAGCUAUGUGAAAUGUUUAUUUUUCCAGGAUAUUUACAACAAUAGUGGUUUUUUUUUUACUUGAAAUAAGUCUGACGUCAGUGGAUUUGUGUAACACCUAUAAUGUAUCUAUUCUGUAGUUUAUGUACAGAAUUUGAGUAAAUAGUGGCACUUCAAAGAAAUGCAACAAUAUUUAUGAACGUAUUUAUAUACUCAAAGGUGGAGCCCGGUCAGUUUAUUAGUGGCCAUAUUGUAUGUAUUUGAAGCUUGAGUGAUUGCAGAAACAUCUCCACCCACUCAUGAUAACGUCACACAAUAUAUGAGCAUGGGCCUCUAGCCGGGGCCAAAUAGUUUAUUUCAUUCUUUUGGCUGGAGUAGAUGUCUCCUCAACUUAAGGUCAUAGCAAUAUCACACACCGAUAAAAUAUGUGUCAUUGAAUUGCAAAUGUGAGAGUGAUGACUUUGUAUUUGUGGCAUUUCUUUGACAUUUUCAAUCCCUUCAAAUAAUGUCACAGUAAUCACAGUAACAUGUCAAUUGUAUUUAGUGAUUUAUCUUCAAAUGUAUCUAUUUCUCUUCUUUAAAUAACAUACUUUUUUAUUGCAUCACAUCAUCCAUUGCUCU